rnacentral:rRNA from 1 species
UACGAAGGGGGCUAGCGUUGCUCGGAAUCACUGGGCGUAAAGGGUGCGUAGGCGGGUCUUUAAGUCAGGGGUGAAAUCCUGGAGCUCAACUCCAGAACUGCCUUUGAUACUGAAGAUCUUGAGUUCGGGAGAGGUGAGUGGAACUGCGAGUGUAGAGGUGAAAUUCGUAGAUAUUCGCAAGAACACCAGUGGCGAAGGCGGCCAACUGGACCAAUACUGGACGCUGAGGCGCGAAAGCGUGGGGAGCAAACAGGG